GACGAACGCUGGCGGCGUGCCUAAUACAUGCAAGUCGAACGAACUCUGGUAUUGAUUGGUGCUUGCAUCAUGAUUUACAUUUGAGUGAGUGGCGAACUGGUGAGUAACACGUGGGAAACCUGCCCAGAAGCGGGGGAUAACACCUGGAAACAGAUGCUAAUACCGCAUAACAACUUGGACCGCAUGGUCCGAGUUUGAAAGAUGGCUUCGGCUAUCACUUUUGGAUGGUCCCGCGGCGUAUUAGCUAGAUGGUGAGGUAACGGCUCACCAUGGCAAUGAUACGUAGCCGACCUGAGAGGGUAAUCGGCCACAUUGGGACUGAGACACGGCCCAAACUCCUACGGGAGGCAGCAGUAGGGAAUCUUCCACAAUGGACGAAAGUCUGAUGGAGCAACGCCGCGUGAGUGAAGAAGGGUUUCGGCUCGUAAAACUCUGUUGUUAAAGAAGAACAUAUCUGAGAGUAACUGUUCAGGUAUUGACGGUAUUUAACCAGAAAGCCACGGCUAACUACGUGCCAGCAGCCGCGGUAAUACGUAGGUGGCAAGCGUUGUCCGGAUUUAUUGGGCGUAAAGCGAGCGCAGGCGGUUUUUUAAGUCUGAUGUGAAAGCCUUCGGCUCAACCGAAGAAGUGCGUCGGAAACUGGGAAACUUGAGUGCAGAAGAGGACAGUGGAACUCCAUGUGUAGCGGUGAAAUGCGUAGAUAUAUGGAAGAACACCAGUGGCGAAGGCGGCUGUCUGGUCUGUAACUGACGCUGAGGCUCGGAAGUAUGGGUAGCAAACAGGAUUAGAUACCCUGGUAGUCCAUACCGUAAACGAUGAAUGCUAAGUGUUGGAGGGUUUCCGCCCUUCAGUGCUGCAGCUAACGCAUUAAGCAUUCCGCCUGGGGAGUACGGCCGCAAGGCUGAAACUCAAAGGAAUUGACGGGGGCCCGCACAAGCGGUGGAGCAUGUGGUUUAAUUCGAAGCUACGCGAAGAACCUUACCAGGUCUUGACAUACUAUGCAAAUCUAAGAGAUUAGACGUUCCCUUCGGGGACAUGGAUACAGGUGGUGCAUGGUUGUCGUCAGCUCGUGUCGUGAGAUGUUGGGUUAAGUCCCGCAACGAGCGCAACCCUUAUUAUCAGUUGCCAGCAUUAAGUUGGGCACUCUGGUGAGACUGCCGGUGACAAACCGGAGGAAGGUGGGGAUGACGUCAAAUCAUCAUGCCCCUUAUGACCUGGGCUACACACGUGCUACAAUGGAUGGUACAACGAGUUGCGAACUCGCGAGAGUAAGCUAAUCUCUUAAAGCCAUUCUCAGUUCGGAUUGUAGGCUGCAACUCGCCUACAUGAAGUCGGAAUCGCUAGUAAUCGCGGAUCAGCAUGCCGCGGUGAAUACGUUCCCGGGCCUUGUACACACCGCCCGUCACACCAUGAGAGUUUGUAACACCCAAAGUCGGAGGGGUAACCUUUUAGGAACCAGCCGCCUAAGGUGGGACAGAUGAUUAGGGUG
rnacentral:rRNA from 1 species